UCUUCCUUCCAGCCUUCUGAAUCUCUGCUUGACUUCCAAGGCCACGCUGUUGAUCACUCUGCUGUCACAUGGGGUUUGUAUAUAGGAGAAGGAAAUAAAGCUUUGAAGAUCAGUUGAGAUCAAGUAUGAAACACUGGAGGUGUAUUUUACUUAGUGUGUGCACUAAGAAAGAAGCGACUCUUCCUAAAACAUACAAAAGCAAUGAGACUCUAACCCAGAAAGACAACAGCAAUAUCACAGAGCUAAAACCAAGACUUGUGAACAGAAGAUCAUGAAAAUCCAUUAAAAACUUAAUACAAAAGAUACAUGCUGUAUUUUUUAUCAUAAAUAAAUACAUAUAGAGAACAAAUUUCACUUACGUGUCACUAUGCCCAUCAAGUAUG